rnacentral:misc_RNA from 1 species
GAUGAAGAACGUAGCGAAAUGCGAUAAGUAGUGUGAAUUGCAGAAUUCAGGGAAUCAUCGAAUCUUUGAACGCACAUUGCGCCUCCUGGUAUUCCGGGAGGCAUGCCUGUUCGAGCGUCAUCAAAAACCUCAACCCAUGAUUUAUUGUGAGUUGGUUCUGCAUUGGACUCCUUGUGGGUCCUUUGCGAAAUCCAAUGGCGAAGAGCCACGCAACCAAAGCGUAGUAUAACUAUUUCGUUAUGGAAGCGUGGGUGCCUCUGCCGUAACCCCCAAUUUCUAGUUUUUGACCUCGGAUCAGGUAGGGAUACCCGCUGAACUUAAGCAUAUCAAUAAGCGGAGGA